UGACUCUGGUCAUAAGCGCUGGAAACGGCCUCUAAUACUGGAUAUGUGACAUGACCGCAUGGUCUGCUUCUGGAAAGAAUUUCGGUUGGGGAUGGGCUCGCGGCCUAUCAUCUUGUUGGUGAGGUAUGGCUCACCAAGGCGUCCACUGGUAGCCCGCCUGACAGGGUGACCGGCCACACUGGGACUGAGACACGGUCCACACUCCUACGGGAGGCAACACUGGGGAAUAUUGCACAAUGGGCGCAAGCCUGAUGCAGCAACGCCGCGUGAGGGACGACGGCCUUCGGGUUGUAAACCUCUUUUAUAGGAAAAGCGAAAGUGACGGUACCUGCAAAUAAGCGCCAGCUAACUACGUGCCAACAGCCUCGGUAAUACUUACGGCGCAAGCGUUAUCCGGAAUUAUUGGGCGUAAAGAGCUCGUAUGCUGUUUGU
rnacentral:rRNA from 1 species